rnacentral:rRNA from 1 species
CCCAGACAGCCAGGAUGUUGGCUUAGAAGCAGCCAUCAUUUAAAGAAAGCGUAAUAGCUCACUGGUCGAGUCGGCCUGCGCGGAAGAUGUAACGGGGCUAAACCAUGCACCGAAGCUGCGGCAGCGACACUGUGUGUUGUUGGGUAGGGGAGCGUUCUGUAAGCCUGUGAAGGUGUGUCGUGAGGCAUGCUGGAGGUAUCAGAAGUGCGAAUGCUGACAUAAGUAACGAUAAAGCGGGUGAAAAGCCCGCUCGCCGGAAGACCAAGGGUUCCUGUCCAACGUUAAUCGGGGCAGGGUGAGUCGACCCCUAAGGCGAGGCCGAAAGGCGUAGUCGAUGGGAAACGGGUUAAUAUUCCCGUACUUGGUGUUACAGCGAAGGGGGGACGGAGAAGGCUAUGUUGGCCGGGCGACGGUUGU